rnacentral:ncRNA from 1 species
UCAUAUUCAAUGACGAGAACAGUAGGGUGAUAGCGUGUCCCAAAGAGAGCCGGGUUGCUGGGAACCGGCGGAUGCCAUGAUCUGAAGAUCCUCUCCGAGAAACAAGGCUGAAACGAUGCAGUAAGCUUUGUCGGUCUUCACCGUUAAGAAGACGUUUCAUAGAGUGCCGGACCCGUGAGGACCGGAACUAGGGUGGUAACGCGAUCAGACUCGUCCCUAUU